UUUAGAAAUUGAGGAGAUGACCUAUGAGAGCUUUACAUCAAUUAUGUGAUACCAUGAUAUAAAUUAUUGUUUUGGUAGAAUGAUAUAUGAAGAGCGAUGUGUCAGAUUUAGAUUUUAAAAAACCCAAGAGAAGCAAAUAGUAAUAUAUUAGGUAUAUGAAUGACCUUCUAACAAUUUUGAAUAAAUUUUUAUGUUAACAGCAGAACAAAAAACCUUAAUAUUUCACAACUCUAAAUCAAUCAUUGUGAUUAUGGAAAGUGGACUCCAUUACAAAGCCAAAAUUGCCA
rnacentral:lncRNA from 1 species